CUACGGGGGGCAGCAGUGGGGAAUAUUGGACAAUGGGGGAAACCCUGAUCCAGCAAUGCCGCGUGUGUGAAGAAGGCCUGCGGGUUGUAAAGCACUUUCGGUUGGGAGGACUGCUUCUAGCACUAAUAUUGUUGGAAGUUGACGUUACCUUCAGAAGAAGCACCGGCUAACUCCGUGCCAGCAGUCGCGGUAAUACGGAGGGUGCAAGCGUUAAUCGGAAUUACUGGGCGUAAAGCGCGCGUAGGCGGCUAGAUCAGUCGGGUGUGAAAGCCCCGGGCUUAACCUGGGAACUGCAUCCGAUACUGGCUAGCUUCAGUACAGGAGAGGAGAGUGGAAUUCCACAUGUAGCGGUGAAAUGCGUAGAUAUGUGGAGGAACACCAAUGGCGAAGGCAGCUCUCUGGCCUGAUACUGACGCUGAGGUGCGAAAGCGUGGGGAGCAAACAGGAUUAGAUACCCGCGGUAGUC
rnacentral:rRNA from 1 species